GGGAAGGAUGAGAAGCUUCGACUAAGGUUCGAUUCGAGCGAAGCGAGAAAGCGUUGCCGCAGGCAACGACCCGAAGGGCGAGGCGCAACGCGCCGAGUAAUCCUUCCCCCACCACCA
rnacentral:sRNA from 1 species